CGGAGACCAGCAAGAGGGGGAUAUCAACCGAAACCCUUGGUCGUCCAAUCCUCCUCCAUUGCUUUGCAGUCUUCCUCCACCGUCGUGUCCGUUGCCGAUGAGCAUGGGUACGCCGGAGUCUUCCUCUUCUUCUUAGUUCCAUGUUGCAGCUUGAAGGAAGGAGGGAGAGAGCUCGACUUCUUCCUUUCUUCCUCCCCCUUCGUCCGUUUUGUUAGCCACCGGUGAUUAUGGUGUGGCUAUCGUCGCUUAUAGAGGCAAAGCUCGUGAUUUUUCCUUCCUUACCCCUGCUUCACGCUGUCAGCCGUGGCCAGUGUUGUCUUCCGUUUUGUUCUGCGUUGAUGAUGUUCUGUGUUGGGGGCUUCGAAUCCUUCCAUCAUCCAUUACCUCUUGGUCCAGGUGAAGGAUCCAGUGGUGGACCGGGAAAGGAGCAAAGCUAGGGGUUUGCUUGUGAUUUGUAAAGAACUGCAACCCCUUUCUUUUAAGCAAAUAUAUUGUAAUGUAUUUAGGAUUAGGGUGCCAGUAGGAUAUGAUUAUGUAUAUGUGUGUGAAUAUGUGUGGAUUGUGUGCUUGUGUAUGAAUUUUUUAUCUGUUUGUAGACUUGUGGCUAGGAAACUUGGUUAUGGUGUGUGGUUUUGAUGGAUUUACUUAGUAGACCAAGUUUCUAUUAUAAGCAGAUAUUUAUUUUGA